rnacentral:rRNA from 1 species
AUGAACGCUGGCGACGUGUCUAAGGCAUGCAAGUCGAGGGGUCCGUAGCAAUACGGACACCGGCAAACGGGUGCGUAACACAUUGGUAACUUACCCCGAAGUCAUGAAUAAGCCUGCGAAAGCGGGUCUAAUACAUGAUGGAAGCGAGGGGACUAAAGUCAUUCUCGCUUAAAGAUUUAUCGCUUCGGGAAAGGCCUAUGGCUUAUCAGCUAGUUGGUGAGGUAAUGGCUCACCAAGGCAAUGACGGGUAGCGGUUCUGAGAGGAUGAUCCGCCACACUGGUACUGAGACACGGACCAGACUCCUACGGGAGGCAGCAGUGAGGAAUAUUGCACAAUGGGGGGAACCCUGAUGCAGCAACGCCGCGUGGAGGAUGACGCAUUUCGGUGUGUAAACUCCUUUUAUAUGUCAAGAAAAUGACGGUAGCAUAUGAAUAAGCACCGGCUAACUCCGU